rnacentral:rRNA from 1 species
UCGUUGUUGCAGUUAAAAAGCUCGUAGUUGAAAUGAAGGGUAGUUGUGUAAUGAAUACAUUCGUGUAUUUUGUUAUUCUACUACCCUCCUUCUAAAUUCGAUAUAUGAGUAUUAAUUUACUUGUAUAUGGUUUUAGACCUUUACUGUGAGAAAAUUAGAGUGUUCAAAGCAGGCAUUUGCUUGAAUAUAUUAGCAUGGAAUAAUCAUGUAUGAUUUUCAUGAUGUAUUUGAUUGGUUUGGUUCAUGAGAAUAAGAUUAAAAGGGACAGUUGGGGGUAUUCAUAUUCAAUAGUCAGAGGUGAAAUUCUCGGAUUUAUGGAAGAUGAACAAGUGCGAAAGCAUUUACCAAGGAUGUUUUCAUUAAU